UCGCGUUGCUAGGGACAUUUACAUUUCGAGUUUUUGCGAAGCGAUAAUGGCGGGUUGGCGGGUUGAAGGAGAGUGAAUUAUUACAGUUGAGAAGAGACUACGAUGUUUUUUUUGGGGAGAAAACAACGACAGUGGUACCAGUGAAGGGAAGGAAGAUUAAUUUGAACAUCAGCUGCAAGUUUUCAGUGAAGAAUCGAGCUAAAUUUGGAGGAUGUCUUCUCAAUAUGAUGAAGAACAUUUUACUUCAGUGUCAUUUGCUUUUUAUUCCAUGGAAUCAUGUCUCGAAGUUCA